CGGUGAGAUGGGUCAGAAGCGCCAGCAUCGGCCGUCUCCGGGGCGGCCCGAGGGGGCGCCCGCCAAGAGCAUCCCGUUCGCCGCGGGUUUCACCGG
rnacentral:tRNA from 1 species